rnacentral:tRNA from 1 species
AUCAAGAUGGCAGACUAGUGCCUUAGAUUUAAGACCUAAACAUGGGAGAUUCCCUCUUGAUA